GAUGAACGCUGGCGGCGUGCCUAAUACAUGCAAGUCGAGCGAAUGGAUUAAGAGCUUGCUCUUAUGAAGUUAGCGGCGGACGGGUGAGUAACACGUGGGUAACCUGCCCAUAAGACUGGGAUAACUCCGGGAAACCGGGGCUAAUACCGGAUAACAUUUUGAACCGCAUGGUUCGAAAUUGAAAGGCGGCUUCGGCUGUCACUUAUGGAUGGACCCGCGUCGCAUUAGCUAGUUGGGGAGGUGACGGCUCACCAAGGCACCGAUGCGUAGCCGACCUGAGAGGGUGAUCGGCCACACUGGGACUGGGACACGGCCCAGACUCCGACGGGAGGCAGCAGUAGGGAAUCUUCCGCAAUGGACGAAAGUCUGACGGAGCAACGCCGCGUGAGUGAUGAAGGCUUUCGGGUCGUAAAACUCUGUUGUUAGGGAAGAACAAGUGCUAGUUGAAUAAGCUGACACCUUGACGGUACCUAACCAGAAAGCCACGGCUAACUACGUGCCAGCAGCCGCCGUAA
rnacentral:rRNA from 1 species